CUGCCUGUGGCCUAGUGGGCAAGGUUACAGUCUUUAGAACAUGGGGUUGUAGGUUCAAGCCCAGCUAGGAACG
rnacentral:tRNA from 1 species